GGCGUCAUAGCUCAGUUGGGAGAGCAGCAGACUGAAGUUGAACUUGGGCAAUCGAGCUGACAUCUGAAGGUCCCGUGUUCAAGCCACGGUGAUGCCA